AUUGAACGCUGGCGGAAUGCUUUACACAUGCAAGUCGAGCGGCAGCGCGGGGGCAACCCUGGCGGCGAGCGGCGAACGGGUGAGUAAUGCAUCGGAACGUACCCAGUCGUGGGGGAUAACGUGGCGAAAGUCACGCUAAUACCGCAUACGUCCUGAGGGAGAAAGCAGGGGAUCGCAAGACCUUGCGCGAUUGGAGCGGCCGAUGUCUGAUUAGCUAGUUGGUGGGGUAAAGGCCUACCAAGGCGACGAUCAGUAGCUGGUCUGAGAGGACGAUCAGCCACACUGGGACUGAGACACGGCCCAGACUCCUACGGGAGGCAGCAGUGGGGGAAUUUUGGACAAUGGGCGAAAGCCUGAUCCAGCCAUUCCGCGUGAGUGAAGAAGGCCUCGGUUGUAAGAC
rnacentral:rRNA from 1 species